CGGCGCACGGGUGAGUAACACGUGGGCAACCUGCCUUGGACGUCGGGAUAACCCGUCGAAAGACGGACUAAUACCGGAUAAGACCACGUUCGCAAUAGAUGCUCUUCAAGAGGGGCCCGCGGUCUAUCAGCUAGUUGGUGAGGUAACGGCUCACCAAGGCUAAGACGGGUAGCUGGUCUGAGAGGAUGGUUUUCCACACUGGGACUGAGACACGGCCCAGAGUCCUACGGGAUUCAGCAGUCAGGAAUAUUGCGCAAUGGAGGAAACUCUGACGCAGCGACGCCGCGUGGGUGAUGAAGGCCUUCGGGUCGUAAAGCCCUGUCGGGAGGGAAGAAUGACGGUACCUUCAAAGGAAGCACCGGCUAACUCCG
rnacentral:rRNA from 1 species